rnacentral:rRNA from 1 species
UACAGAGGGGGCAAGCGUUGUUCGGAAUUACUGGGCGUAAAGGGCGCGUAGGCGCCUUCUAAGUCGAACGUGAAAUCCCCGGGCUCAACCCGGGAACUGCGUCCGAGACUGGAAGGCUCGAAUCCGGGAGAGGGAUGUGGAAUUCCAGGUGUAGCGGUGAAAUGCGUAGAUAUCUGGAGGAACAUCGGUGGCGAAGGCGGCGAUCCUGGACCGGUAUUGACGCUGAGGCGCGAAGCC